rnacentral:rRNA from 1 species
ACAGGUAGUCAAGAUGAGAAUUCUAAGGUGAGCGAGCGAACUCUCGUUAAGGAACUCGGCAAAAUGACCCCGUAACUUCGGGAGAAGGGGUGCUCUUUAGGGUUAACGCCCAGAAGAGCCGCAGUGAAUAGGCCCAAGCGACUGUUUAUCAAAAACACAGGUCUCUGCUAAACCGUAAGGUGAUGUAUAGGGGCUGACGCCUGCCCGGUGCUGGAAGGUUAAGAGGAGUGGUUAGCUUCUGCGAAGCUACGAAUCGAAGCCCCAGUAAACGGCGGCCGUAACUAUAACGGUCCUAAGGUAGCGAAAUUCCUUGUCGGGUAAGUUCCGACCCGCACGAAAGGCGUAACGAUUUGGGCACUGUCUCAACGAGAGACUCGGUGAAAUCAUAGUACCUGUGAAGAUGCAGGUUACCCGCGACAGGACGGAAAGACCCCGUGGAGCUUUACUGUAGCCUGAUAUUGAAAUUCGGCACAGCUUGUACAGG